rnacentral:lncRNA from 1 species
GUCCAUGCUUCUAAGCUUAACUAGUUGUGCAGGACCUGUUUAUGAAAUCAACCCUAGAUUCGAUAUUCAAAGUUGCAUUCGGGGUUGAGCUAGACAGCAUGUGUGGAUCAAAUGAAGAAGGUGUCAAAUUUACCAGUGCUUUUGAUGAUGCAAGUGCAUUGACCCUUUGGCGAUAUGUUGACGUGUUCUGGAAAAUCAAGAGGUUUUUGAAUAUUGGAUCGGAAGCUGCAUUGAAGAAAAACGUCAAAGUGGUUAAUGAUUUUGUGUAUAAACUAAUCAAUAAAAAAAUUGAGCUAAUGCGUAACUCAGAAGAAGUUUCUUCUGUGAGUAUCUCUCCUUGAAACUAUUAUUUCUGAUAGAUUGCAGAGGCAUGAAUUUUAGCUGAUCUUACAUGGAAAAUGCAGUUAAAGAAAGAUGACAUUUUAUCAAGGUUCCUGCAAGUGACGGAGAAUGAUCCAACAUACUUACGGGACAUAAUUCUCAAUUUUGUGAUUGCUGGAAAAGACACAACAGCAGCUGCUCUAUCAUGGUUCAUCUACAUGUUGUGCAAGCAUCCAGCUGUGCAGACAAAGGUUGCACAAGAAGUAAGAGAAGCAACUAAAGUGAAAGAGAUCACAAAUUUUGCAGAAUUUGCAGCCAGUAUUAAUGAAGAAGCUCUAGAAAAGAUGAACUAUCUCCAUGCAGCAAUUACUGAAACUCUUAGACUGUAUCCAUCUGUGCCUGUGGUAAGAAGAAAUUAUGUGCACUUGCAAUUCCUGGCUGCAAGAAACAACACAAAUAAAUUUGUGAUUAUUUACUAAUUCUUCAAGACUGAAACUACGAUUCUUGAGCAAUAAAUGCCUUUAAUUCUCUCAGUAUACUUGAUGUUUCAACAUGCUUGUAUAGAGUUAAUAAUGCUUCCUAAAUAAUUGUAUAAUUUUUUUGUUUCUGUAUCUCAAAAUUCUUUGCUUUGCAGGAUGCGAAGGUUUGCUUUUCUGAUGACACUCUACCAGAUGGCUUUAAUGUGAGAAAGGGAGAUAUGGUGGCUUACCAACCCUAUGCAAUGGGGAGGAUGAAGUUCAUAUGGGGCGAUGAUGCUGAGGAAUACAAACCUGAAAGAUGGCUCAAUGAGGAUGGCGUGUUUCAGCAAGAAAGCCCUUUCAAGUUUACAGCUUUCCAGGUUAGUGGAAAUAAAGAUCUGUCUAAUUCACUUGAUUAACAUUCAAAUAAAUUUUCUGCUGCCUUUGCUGUGCAAAUCAUUAAGAUCUAUUUUCAGUGCUUGCUCAGUUUAACUUUAUGGACUCCCAAUCUCGUUGACCAAAUGACUAAAAUCAGACUUUCUGCUGGUUAACAGGCAGGGCCACGGAUAUGUCUUGGGAAGGAAUUUGCUUAUAGGCAGAUGAAGAUCUUCGCGGCUGUCUUAUUGGGCAGUUUCAUUUUUAAACUCGCUGAUGAAAUGAAACCUGUCAACUACAGGACAAUGAUUAAUCUUCAUGUUGAUGGAGGCCUCCAUGUUUGUGCCCUCCACAGAGGCAGUGCUUAGCUCAGUAUAUCUGUAAUGGUAUUACAUCAAUAAACAUGGGCGUAAAACCCAGCCCAAACCAUCCAAGGUAAACGAGGUUAAACAAUGUUUUCCUGGUAAGACGACAAGACGGAUCAUGCACCUUCUUAAGCAACUGCAGAGAUCUCUGAACUUGUUUAAACAACAGAAUAUCCAUCAAUUCAUAUAUAAAUAUGAAGAAACAAUGAAGCUAUACCUUAGAAGGGGGGCUGUAAGCAAGAGUCCAAGUAUGGAACGAACUCCAGCCUAUCAGCUCCUGAAGAAUAGGAUUUUAAACUAGUGAUAAGCUUUGUAUAGAAUGGAACUCUAAUUAUUGUGUUUGAUUAGAACUCUGCAACGUUAUCUCUACUGUAUAUAUAUACCUCUGUUUUCAAUGAAUAAACAUAAGAGUUUCCUACGUUCCAUAUAUAUUCAGCUGUCUUCUCUACUGGUAUCAGAGCUGUUGCACUAAAUUGCACAGUUUUUUUUUCUCUUGUCUUCGUCUCUUCACUCUCUUCUUCCCAUCUUCUAUUUAAAUCCUAAAUCACCAUGAGUGAUUUCCCAAACACAACUCUUGUUACCAUUAAUGUUACAGCUCAAGCUCCAGUGAAACUCAACAGCACCAACUAUUUGUCAUGGCGACUUCAGUUUCAGACGCUCUUCAUUGGUUAUGAUCUGCAAGGAUACAUAGAUGGCACAAAGCCAUGCCCCUCCCGAUAUCAUACCACCAGCACAGACAACCCCAACACUCAAGCCUUAAAUCCAGAAUAUCAUACCUGGAUACGUCAAGAUCAACUGAUUUUGAAUGCCAUCAUAGGAUCCAUUACACCAACCAUUAUUCCUUUUAUUGCUCGCGCCACAACAGCUCGCGAAGCUUGGAAUAUCCUUGCAGCCACAUAUGCCACUCCAUCUCGGGGUCGCAUCAAACAGGUGAAAGCUAAUCUCAAAUCGUUAACUAAAGGCACUCUUAGCAUCACAGAUUUCCUGCAAUAAGUAAAGGCUAGAGCUGAUGAACUUGCAGUCCUAGGGGCACCUGUAGACAAUGAAGACCUGACGGACAAAAUCCUAGAAGAACUAGGUGAUGACUAUAAAGAAUUGGUGAGAGCAGUGCAAGCCAGAGACAAUGCCAUAAGCUUUGAUGAACUCCAUGAAAAAUUAUUAAUGUUUGAAGCCUCACUCCAAGCAGCCCAUAAAGGUAUUAAUUUCUCCCCUACAGCACAUCUCUCCAGUAGAACUCAAAGCAGGUAUCCUUUCAACAUUGUUGGCCGAUCAACGUCCAACAACUCAGGUGGACACUGGCGCCCCUCAACCUACUCACAUCAUCGCUACAUAGGACAAGGUUCAAACACUAAUGGCACCACUAACAACAGCCGCUCUCAGCCAUGACCAUAUCUGGGGUAUUGCCAAAUUUGUAGCAUUCAAGGACAUACAGCAAAAAAAUGUCACUCCUUUCGUCUUGUUCCACUCCACAGCCACCCAAAUUCCAGUCCUCCUCCAUGGCAACCACAAGCCAACCUUGUUGAAACUAAUUCCCAGACUAGCUCUCCAUGGCUUUUGGAUAGUGGGGCAUCCCACCACAUCACAACAGAUCUUUAAAAUUUGGCUCACCACUUGCCCUACACCGGCACUGAUGAUGUUAUGAUAGGGGAUGGUAAAAGUCUGCGAAUUACACACUUGGGUUCCUCUACUCUUCAUUCAUCCGCUCACUCCUUUAAGCUUAAAAAUAUAUUAUGUGUGCCUGAUAUUAAACGCAAUUUACUAUCUAUAUAUCAAUUUUGCGUUGAUAAUAAUGUAUCUGUUGAGUUCUUACCCUGAUGUUUUUUUGUGAAGGACUUAUUGAUGGGGGAAAUUCGCGCAAAGGAUAAAACCAAAGAAGGUGUGUACGAAUGGUCGUGCGUUGUCACCUCUCAUGCCUUUUCCAGUCUCAAAAUACCUUCCAUAAAUUGGCAUUUUUGAUUAGGUCAUCCAGCUGUUUCUGUUUUAAAAACAAUUUUAACUAAGGAUAAUUUGAAUUCGUCUUCAGUUUCAAAAGACUUUGUCUGUAAUGCAUGUCACUGUAAUAAAAGUCACAAACUACCUUUUUCUGUCUCCACCUUGGUUUCUCGUAAACCACUUGAAAUAAUAUUUUCUGAUGUAUGGACGUCCCCUAUUUUGUCUAUUGAUAAUUUUAAGUACUAUGUUAUUUUUGUGGAUCACUUCACUAAAUACAUAUGGUUUUAUCCGUUAAAAAAUAAAUCUGAUGUCAAAACCAUCUUCAUACGCUUUAAAGCAGUAGUAGAAAAUUAUUUCAAGACCAAAAUUGUGACUUUGUAUUCUGACAAUGGAGGUGAAUAUAUUGCGCUAAAGGAAUUCCUUGUUAUGCAUGGAAUAUCUCAUCUGACAUCACCCCCUCACACCCCUGAACACAAUGGCUUUGCUGAACGCCGUCAUCGGCAUAUUGUAGAAACAUGUCUCUCCCUUUUAACUCAUGCAUCUUUACCCCGUAUUUUUUGGUCAUAUGCUUUUUCUACCGCGGUCUAUCUUAUAAAUCGCAUGCCAACAACUAAGUUACAAAAUCUUUCACCUUAUGCAGUUAUUUUUCAACAUUCCCCGAAUUAUGAAAAGCUUCGUAGUUUUGGAUGUUUAUGCUAUCCUUGGCUACGACCAUACACUGCUCAUAAACUAGAUCCUCGUUCCAAACCAUGCAUUUUUCUGGGAUAUUCUCUUUCACAAAGUGCUUAUUUAUGCUUAGAGCCCGAGUCCUCAAAAAUUAUUGUGUCUAGGCAUGUGUCCUUCAUUGAGCAUAUUUUUCCAUACCAUGAUUUACACAAACCGGAGCCUCCAUGCAUAUCCAAUUCAAUUGACAUAUGGAUUCCACCUGUCAUCACCAUUCCCUCGUCAUCUUCUACACACUCUUCUACGGCAACACUUGAAGCAAGAAAUUCCCCGCUAGUGAUCCUUCAUCCCUCAUCAGGAACCACCACCCAACCAUCUACCACCAUUCCUAUAUCUGCCCCAGAUGUCCUUAACCCCACAACAACCAUACCCCCACCACCACCAAAUCUUCCUACUCAUCCUAUGACAACCCGGUCCAAAAACAAUAUUCACAAACCCAUACAAAAACUCACAUAUACUACCACUCUUACCCCUCAGCCUUAAGAACCCACCACAUUUGCUCAGGCCACAAAAGACCCACACUGGCAGUCUGCCAUGAAUGAAGAGUAUAGUGCUCUGUUGCGUAAUGGCACUUGGACUCUAGUCCCCCCUGUUUGUGCUUCUAACUUGGUUGGUUGUAAGUGGAUUUUCAGGAUAAAACGAAAUGCAGAUGGAACAGUGGCUCGUUACAAAGCCAGACUUGUAGCCAAAGGUUUUCAACAGCUUCCGGGACUGGACUACCAUGACACAUUCAGUCCAGUUGUGAAACCUACAACAAUCCGUCUGGUUCUCAGCAUUGCUGUCAGUAAUGGAUGGCCACUUCGGCAACUUGACAUUAACAAUGCAUUCCUGCAAGGCACCCUUGCUAAGGAUGUAUACAUGGCACAACCUCCGGGCUUCCAUGAUCUAGACAAACCUGAGUUUGUCUGUAAACUCAGAAAAGCAAUUUAUGGCUUGAAGUAGGCACCCCGUGCGUGGUAUCAUGAACUACGCAAUUUUCUACAUGCAUCAGGAUUCUCUAACUCCUUGGCUGAUACAUCACUUUUUGUCUUCCAUCAGCAAUCUCAUCUCAUUUAUCUCCUGGUCUAUGUUGACGAUAUUAUUGUUACAGGGGAUAAUGAACAGGCAGUCAAUCAAUUCAUUCGGUGUUUAGCAGAUCGGUUCUCAUUAAAAGAUUUGGGCUCUCUACAGUAUUUUCUGGGCGUUGAAAUUCGAUCUCAUCCCACUAGUGGCAAGCUCCUCUCACAGCACAGGUAUAUUAUGGAUCUACUGCAUCGCACCAACAUGGCUCAUGCAAAACCCACGUCAACUCCCCUGCCUCCAGGUUGUAAACUAAGCUUAAACAUGGGUGCACCUAUGGCUGACCCUUCACACUAUCGUGCUACAAUAGGAAGCCUUCAGUAUCUAUCUCUAACUCGGCCUGAUAUUUCUUUCGCUGUAAACAAGCUCUCCCCAAUUUAUGCACAAGCCCUCAGAUGUACACUGGAAACUGGUGAAACAUCUCCUUCGAUAUUUACUUGGCACUGUCGACCACUGUCUGCUACUUCAUCGUCAUUCACCAUUUUCGGUUCAUGCUUUUUCUGAUGCAGACUGGGGGGGGGGGACAUGGUAGAUUUAUCCUCCACCAGCGCCUAUGUCAUCUACCUUGGCCGGAGCCCCAUCUCCUGGUCUUCCAAAAAGCAACACACCACGGCACGUUCAUCCACUGAAGCCGAAUAUAGAGCAGUUGCAGACACAGCAGCUGAAAUCAGUUGGGUGUGCUCUUUAUUAUCUGAACUACAUUUUCCAGUGAGUCACACUCCAGUCAUCUACUGUGACAACAUUGGUGCCACCCAGCUAAGCUCUAAUCCUGUGUUUCACUCAAGAAUGAAACAUGUUGCUAUUGAUUUCCAUUUCAUUCGACAAAGGGUUCAAUCAGGUGCUCUACGAGUGUCUCAUGUAUCUUCAAAUGAUCAGUUAGCCGAUGCAUUAACAAAAUCACUACCCCGCUCGCAGUUCUGGCUUCUUAAAGACAAGAUUGGACUCAUUGACCCCGUCCAUCUUGAGGGGGCAUGUAAGCAAGAGUCCAAGUAUGGAACGAACUCCAGCCUAUCAGCUCCUGAAGAAUAGGAUUUUAAACUAGUGAUAAGCUUUGUAUAGAAUGGAACUCUAAUUAUUGUGUUUGAUUAGAACUCUACAACGUUAUCUCUACUGUAUAUAUAUACCUCUGUUUUCAAUGAAUAAACAUAAGAGUUUCCUACGUUCCAUAUAUAUUCAGCUGUCUUCUCUACAGGGGCUUGGACCGCAUCUCCAAACUGUAUCUGCUCACGUCCAGGAAAGUCCCGCUCUCCUCGGAUUUCUUUGUUUUUCUUCCACAUAUUAAAAAGUGAUCAUGUAGAUGUUCAACAACCAUAUGCUUGAACAAGCCUGUGAAUGGGGUUUAGAUACUAAAAUUUGAAUUCACAUGCAGCCAAAUUAGAAAUGAAAUUGAACAGAAUUUCAAGUACACCAAGUCGUCCACUACAUGAAUCCUUGUAGCAUCCUCUUCAAACUAGAGAAAAAAACCUACAGGGGCCGUAAUAGAGUGAUAUCCUCCACUAAAAUCCUUGGCAAGUUUAAUGCAUUAACCCGUAGCCUUAUCGUUCUGCCCACGGCAAUUAUAAGUACAUGCCCCCUAACAAAAAUCCUACGGAUGAUCCAAAAUUCUUGGAAACUCUGUGUCGACCACCUGACCACAAACACAUCAGGUCCGAGUAUUGCACUCGAACAAAUAGUUAACAUUUCUAAAAAUAAAAUGCUGACAUAAAUAGCUGUCAUUGCAAAAAUUAGGUUAGUCAAAGGCACUACCAUUACAAAAAUCACAGUAGCUUCCUGAGCAAAAGGUUUUCCCUGUAAAAAUGAGAUAACAAGAUGAGACCCAUGGCACGUACUUGCUCAUACUUAAUACAUCCCAGAGAGAGUCUGAGGGCCACACAUCGCGAGUUAGAUGCAGAACUAGCAAACCCCGUAUCUAGCUCCUUCCUCGUGAGUGAAUCAGUGAAAGCACUCUACUCAGCAAAGCCUUAUUCCCAAACACAGUUGUGAUCAGUUACAUGGAUGAUUUCCCUCUACUCUAUUCUGUUUUAGCCAACUUUAUACAUGUUUCAUGGUGGUAUAAGUACCCAAUUCUAAAGCAAUUUUAGCAAUGUAAAACAGUCAUAAUGACAAAAACUUCAAGAAGUCAAGUUUCAAGUGAGCAUGAACUUUCACCACGAGUUCUCCGCGAACAAUUUUCGACCAAUCUAAUUCAAUGCUAAACUUUACGUAGCUAAUAACACAGACAUGCAUGUUGAAAGAAAUCAAGCAUUACCCCCAAGUUGUCAAGAAUUCACAAGAAUGGGAGGUGUGCAGAGGUGGAUGACAUUUUCCUGAUGGCUUUAGAAUGAAAAAGGUUGACGGACAUGGCAUAUGCCAUGGGUAGGAUGCCUUACAUUUGGGGAGACGAUGCAGAGGAUUUGCGGCCAGAAAGAUGGCUCAACAAUGGGAUUUUCCAACCUGAAUCACCAUUCAAGUUCAUAGCAUUUCAUGUUAGUAUCUUCUCUUCGUUUCUUGCAGACAUAACGUGUGAAACAGUUUCCAAAGUUGUUGGCUGUCCCCUUGCAGGCAGGUCCUCGGAUAUGUCUGGGCAAAGACUUCGCGUACCGGCAGAUGAAGAUACUAUCCAUAGCCCUUCUUCGGUUCUUUCGCUUCAAAUUAGCUGAUGACAAGAAAAAUAACUUACAGGACAAUGCUCACACUUCACAUUGAAGGAAGUCUGCAUCUUCGUGCAAUUGGAAGGACCAAGUCAUGAAGAUAAAAUAAGUCAAGCAAAUAAUUAUGGCCUGGUGAAUCUUGUUUGUACUGUAUACAUUGAUACACAUAUCAAUUACAAACAACUGUGAUUUCUACCGGUAUGUUAGCUGCAGCUGUCGCACGACUGUGUCACCUUGGAGAUAAAAUUUGCAAGGAAAAUUUUCAUUUGUCCUAUUUUUCCUUUUCUAAACUAUGUGCCACCAGCAACAAGCAGCUUGAAUUUAUCUAAUCAUCGUUAUCAAGCUUUAAUUUAGCAUUAGUGGGUUUAAUUUGAAUCAUCACUGUCCAGAUAUUACUUGUGCAAAAGAUAAGGAGUGCUCCGUUCUGUUUCGUUCAUGUCAUUUUCCUUGCUUCCACAUCCAAAAGUUACAGCGCAUGGGAUGUUUCCAGGCUAAGCUUUAAAGCUAUUCUCCUACACAUAUUUGCCUUAUCUCAACAAUCAUUCAUUCCAAGAAAUGGUCAUUCUCUGUCAUCUUCACCUUCACAGAAACAGCACUUCUCUUUAUCCCCUCAACCUUGUUGUUUUUAGCACUCAAAAUUUUUGCUGGCAAAUCAAUCAACAAUCCCAACUAUCCACCAGUUAAAGGCACAAGCUUUAACCAGCUCCUCUACUUCGACAGGCUCUAUGACUACCAAACUAAAUGGCCAAGAAACAGAAAACUGACCGCUUCCAACUCCGGAGCAAAGUGAGGUGUACACGCAUACAAGAAACACAGAGCAUGUGCUAAAAGCAAACUUUGAGAAGUAUAAUAAAGGAAAGCACAAUCAAGAUAUUUUUACUGAUUUUUUUUGUGAAUUGAAAUUGUUAUGAUAUCCCAUGUAAUCACCAUUGGAAUUCUGGUGCACACAUGCAUUGUAAUUAUACGUAAGUUAUGGUUUAACUAUUCAAGCAAAGCUCUACAUAUUUCAAUCUAUAUUCGGUGGCCAACCAAUCAUAGACUUCAAAAUAACAACAUAAAAGAUGGGCAUAUUAAUAUAACGAAUUGGACGUUACCCAGCUUUAAUGUCCUCAAAGUAACAUCAACUUUAGUUUUAUUAUAAUUUCACUCAAUGCCUCCAUAUAUGAGUUCAUCUAGUGAAAUAUAUAAUAUAUAUAGCACUAAAAAAAAUAUUAGUUCCUCAAAUAUAAGUGAUAGUAUUGUUGUUAGUAUCACUAUCCUCAAAUAUAGCACUAAAAAUACAUAAUCACUAAAUACCUAAUUCAUUAAAUUUAUACGUAUCUGGUGCAUGUAAUUUAUAAAUUCAAUUGGUAUAAUAAUAUCUAAUUAAUAUAAUUUAUACCCAAUUUACUGCAUUCAGGUAAAAUAUAAUGCAUCACAAAGUAAACCCUAACAUAAGGAUAAACUUGUUAGAGUUACUUAAUAAACCCUGUCCCUUUCCUUCCAACCUCCACACAGCGUUGUCUAUGUGAUUAUACUACUUCUACUGGGCCGAAUCCAUUAAAAUACCAACAUCCAUCUUCCUUGUUUCACGUACUGCUCAACUCCAACAUGGCCUCCGUUGAUUUUCUCUCUGAUCCAUUCAAAUUCUCAGCUUUAGUUCCAAUCCUAUAUGUACUCAUAGCCCAACUACUCACUAGAAAAUUGAACAAAAAGCAGAAAAAUACCAGUACCAUCCAGUUGGUGGCACGGUGUUCAACCACCUUCUCAACUUCAACGGGUUGCAUCAUUACAUGACUGAUCUUGCUGGGAAAUACAAGACUCACAGGCUGCUAACCCCUUUCAGAAGUGAGUUUUACACUGCUGACCAUGUAAAUUAAUGUUGAGUACAAACUCAAAUCCAAUUUUCUUUUGUCCUAUUUUCCUUUCCUAGAGUGUGUUCUACCUGUAUCAAGCAGUUUAAAUUUACCCGAUUAUUGCUAUCAAGCUUUAAAUUAGCACUAGUGAUUUAGGACCAAUGAACUUUAAUCUGAAUCACCAAUAUUCAGAUAUUUCUCAUGCAAAGACAAGGAGUGAUUCUCUCUGUUUGGCUCACGUCACUUUCCUCGCUUUCUCGCACAGAAGUUACAGCGCAAUAAUGUUUCUAGACUAAGCUUUAUAGCUAUUCUCGACAACCACUCAUUCCAAGAAAUGGACAAGCACCCCGCUAUCCUCACCUUCACAGCAACCACAACUCUUUUUAUGUCCUCUACCUUCUUGUUUUGAGCACUUAUUAAAAUCUGUACUGCCAAAUCUAUCAAGAAUCCCAACUUUAUACCAUUAAAAGCCACACUCUUCAACCAGCUCCUCUACGUCAACAGGCUCUAUAACUACCAAACUGAACUUUCCUCUUCUAAAUUUGGAGUGUAAUGUGCAUUUAUUAUAUUGGUUUUUAUACGUAAAUUAAAUACCAAUGAUUUUCAUUCUAAUAUAAAAGUGGAGUCAAUCGAAUGUUAUAAUCUUUGGAGAUAUUUUUUCUUAUAAAACUACAUAAGAAAUCCCUUUGCUUAAAAAAAUGAAAGAAAAUAGCUCAUGUAGCCUUCAUCAUACUAUAGAUAAAAGAUCUAUAUAUAAAGAACGAUGAAAUUGAGUUAAGAAGAAGUAUUAUGAAGGUGAAAAUGAUAAAAACAUUUCAUCCUGAUUUUUUAACUUAGAAAAUAUGCCUUGAAGAUAAGAAUCAUUGAAAAAAUAAAAGCUAAUAUAAUCAUUAAAAUAUAUAAAGAAAAACUUGUUAUUAAAGAUUUCAAGUAAUAAAAAAAUAAGAACUAUUUUGAUACAUGCUCACCUAAGUUAAGAACAACUCUUAUAUGAAUGUUAAUAGUCAAUUAUAUAUGCAGCUAUUAACAAGUUAGAAAUAUAUAAAAUUAAUAUAAAAAUAGUUUUUUUAAAGGGUGAUUUUGAUGAAAAAGUCAAAUGAAACAACCUGGAAGGUUUUUUGUUUUUAAAAAAUAUAUAAGCUUGUCAAAUUAUUAUACUGUUUGAAAUACAUUUUUAAAUAAUGAGAUGAAAAGUUAAACAAGUUUAUGUUAUCAUAUAAGUUUAAAAUUAACAGGGUUAAUAAAUAUGUUUAUGCAAGAAACACAAACAAUAAUUAUUUCAUUGUAUGUAUUUAUGCGAAAGACAAAAUUAAUUUUAGGCAACAAUAAAUAUAUUAUUGUCACCAACUGUGUUGAGUGCAUUUCAAAAGUGGGUUUUCUUGAAAAAAAAUUAAAUUGAUUUUUUAAAAAUGUUUUCCAAUAGUAUUGGCGUGCUAAUGUAAAAAAUGAGAAAAAUAUAAAAAAAUAUUUUAAUAUAUUUUUAAAUAAAAUACUUUUGAGAAGCACCAUGCACUUUAAUAUCAAAUACAUGUUAUGUUUAUAUAUAUAAAAAGUAUUAACUAAUAAGUUUAACAUGAAAAGAUUAGGUGUUGUAGAUGUCAUACUAAAAAUAAAAAUUUUUAAGAUAUAUGAUAGAUUUGUAUUGUCUUAAUCUUAUUAUGAGAAAAUUAUUGAUGAUUUUUUAAAGGUAAUAAUAGCAACAUCAAAACAUCAAUGUAUGUUCAAAAACAAAGGUGGUGAAGGUAUAUUCCAGUUGAAAUAUUCUUGAAUUAUUGAAAGUUUAAUAUAUGUUAUGAAUGGUUUUUAAGAAAAAUCUACAAAUUUUGUUAGGGAUUUCAAGUCCUGGGAAUGUAUUGCUUGAUCAGGUAAAGUAAUUGUAGAAUGGUACUGAAGGCAAUAUUGAUACAAAAAAAACAAGUUUUAGUUUUCCACUUGUGCUCCUCUUAAGAAAAUCUCCAUUAACUUUUAGGGAUUUCAAGUCCCGGAAAGGAUUGCUUGUCAUCUAAAGUAAUCGGAGAACAGUGAUGAAGGCAAUAUUAACGAUCUAAAAGAAAUAAAUUUAAGAAAAUAUCUUUCUGUGAUGUAUGAUCAUGUGAAUUCCUUCAGACUUUUCGACUUUCUGUUUCUUGAGUCGCUAUCGGGGCUGUGGCUUGCAAGAUGGGGUCCUGAAGACGCUUUCACCCACCCAAGAGCAAAAGUUGUGGGGGCCGCUGGUUAUGUUUUUUUCUGGAUUCAGCUGAGACAAAUUGCUUGUUGACAGCUAGAGAUCACCACGGCAUCUUACCUUGCUCUUAUCUUUCUUGCUUCAAGGGAUAAGAUGCGCCCACCAUUCUGAUAAGAUGCCACCGUGCGGUUGCCAACCAUCAACAUGCAAGGAUUUCAACUCGAAUUCGUUAUCCUAAAUUUGUACUUCAACGAGGUGAAGUAGUGGAGUUUCUUCCUUUCCAUUACAAAAAUGAAGAAGAAGAAGAAGCAGCAGCUUUGUCUGAAACUAAUUGUAGGAGAGGAUUAAAUCAACCAGCAGAAAAGUUUCUUGAUUUUCGACGACAUCAAUUACAGUCAAGGUUGUCAAUUCCGUUUUCAUUCAAAAUGACCAAACAUUUUAUAUCAAUUCAAAAAAAUAAAACAAAACAGAAUAAUUUUCAUCUCAUUUCAAAUCUUGAUUCGUUCCGGAUUUUUUAACUAAAUUCUAUCCAGAAUGUUCCGGUUUUAUUCCACAUGUUCUGUUGCGGUCUUGAAAAAUCAUUGAAUCAAAUUGAACAUGAUUCAAUUUAAUUAAUUAAACCAUCCAAGUAUAAAAAACUCUUUUUCAUUACUAUUUUCAAUAACAAUGAUAUUAAUAAUAAUAUUGAAAGUUAUUAUUACUAUUUUCAUUAACUUUGUAGGAAUUUAAGCAAAAUCUUUAGAUCCCAUUAGCCUUGAUAACAUUGACCUAGCUUUAUAUUUAAAAUAUUUGUAUUAAAAUAUUUUAAUUUCAUAAUAUUUUGAUAUUUUGUUCAAGUUGAAUUAAUUUAAGUUAAAGAUCUAUUUAAUCUUGAUUAUUUAUAAAUAUUUAAAUUUCAAAAUUAUAUUUGUUUAACAUUAUAUUUGUAUUAUAUAAUUUAUAAUUAAUUUAUCUUGAAUUUGAAUUAUGUUUGCACAACAUCCUAGGUCCCAGGUUCUUGAAAGUCUUAGUAGAUCGCUACGAUCUUAUCCUUUUAGUAUUGAGGAGCUUACCAGUUCUGAUCCACUUGAGAAUAUAUACAGUACAAUCUUGAAACGACACGUCAAAAUAGUUCAAAAUUAAACAUUUUAUUCCAAUUAAAAAUACACAACACUUACUGACAACUUAAUUACAGCUACUUUGUGCUAACUGAUUUAACAUUUGUUCUCACACAUGAGUUUUUAACAUGAUAAAGCAAAGUGAAUAUUCCUCUGACCAUCACACACAGGUACUUGGAUAUAUAUGCAUGGCAAUAGGCGCAACGAUCUAAUAGUAUUUGAUUCAAACUUUACCUUAUGCCAACAAUUAUCAAUUGAAAUCACAUUACCUUUUCAAGUACCAUAGUUUCCAUGAUGUUCUGAAGAUAUUGACUCUGAUCCAGUAAUACAUGAAUAAAAAACAAGAUUUUUAUCUAAUUACAGUAAAAAAGGUGAAUAAAAAAACAUUAACAUCUCUCAAUUUCAACUAGAACUAGUUUAAGAUAAAUGAGAUUAAUUUUAGAUAAAAUUAUAAAUGAGAUCUUUAAAAUGUUUAUUUUAUUUUAUUUUUAUGUGUAUCUAAUAAGUGAAGCCUUGGUAAUCUUUAUUUUGUAUUUGAGGUUUUUUUAUUAAGUAAGGAUAAUUAAUUUUUAUUCUAUAAAAUAUAAUUGAUAAAUAUAUAAUACUUAUUUUUUAGGUUUUUUUAUAUUAAAUGUGGACUUGAAAUGUUGCCCGUGUAGCUCUUGGCUUAAACAAGCUCCGAUUACAAAAUUAAUCCCCAGAAUAAUUUCAUUUUGGCAUCUUGAACAUUUAUUCGCUUUCAUCGAACUAUAAUCUAAGUGCUUCUUUAAGUAUGAAUUCUUAAACUUCAUUUGGUGUGCUCAAUUACAAGAGAAGUUAAGGAGUAGGGUUUAUAAUUUAUAUAUGAAAAAGGGAGAAACUAAGAAAGAAAGUAUUGUGUUUUUUUUUUCUUUAUUUUUUUAUCAACAACUUCUCUAACCAAAAAAAAAAAAAGGUUGAGUUGGAGGCCACAUGGCAUAAAUUUUUUUAUUGAUGCAGUGCUCUUGUAAAAACUAAAAUUUUUGAAUAUUAAGGGAUAAUCUUACACUACUAAAUAAAGAUCUAACUUAAAUAGAUUAAAUAAAUAAUAUAAUAAAUAUUUUCAUGAACUAACGAGAUAUUUAAGUUUAAGAAGGGAUUUAAUCGUACCAGACUAGUCAUCUUAAAAUUGAGACAAUAGAAGAUCCGAUUAUUGUAUCAAUCUCAAAUUUUUUCAGGUAAUUCUAUAAACAAUUUUCCUAUAAGAAGCCAUUUUCAUACUUAUUGAACAAUUGUAUCUCUCGAAAUUAGACCCGAAAAUUAUUAUUUGGAUUAAUUUUGUUAUUUUUCUAAGAUUUUUUGGAUUUAUUAUUUUUAUUUUGAAUCCUGUUUUAAUUUCCUUAUUUUUUUUAGAUUUUAAAUUAUUUUCUAAUAGAGAUAAGUUUUCCUAUCUAUUUAAAGGUAUUGUAAACUUAUUGAAGAGAUAACAACUAUAUAAUUAAAUAAAUUUUAGAGAAUAAAAUUAUAAAUUUAAAGUUUAUAUUUACAAUUUUUUUUCCAAUAAAAUUCUUAUGUUUUUUAUAUUAUUGUUGUACUAGUAGCUUUGGCAGGCGUCAAUUUUGAAAAUUAAGUUCUUACAUGUUGAUUUAGGAAAGCAGGAACUCCAAGAAACUAUAAAAUAUUAUAUGAUUGUGAUUAUAAUUGAUUUGAUGUUCAAAGUCCCCUUAUAAUUUAUGCAUCGUCUCCUUCCUCCUACCAUUAUUUCUACAUCUUCAUUUUCAAUCCUAAUUUUUUUAACCUUUAGUUUUUUUUUUUUUUAAUUUUCAAAUUCAUAAUAAAAAUAAUAAAAAAAUCAAGUCUUCAUAGUAUUUUCUUCUCCACCGUAUAUCAUAAAACCUAGAUUUAUGGUUUCUCAAAAACUCAAGCAACUGUCAUUUUUAGUUUUCAUAUUUGAAUAACAGGAAUCAGAGUUAUCGACAAAUUAACUACAUUUUCCCAAUUAAUUCACUAACUCAAUCUGCGGUCAAAAGAGUUUAUCAAGGACACAUCUUUCCCUCAUCUCUACAGCUUCAACUACAAUAUAUAUAUAUAUAUAUACAUAUACAUAUAUCAUAGUUUCAUCAGCAACGACGCAUUCAGUUCCAGCAACGAGUUUGAAUCAUGCAUUUACAUUUCUGCUCUUAUCCGUCAGUAAGAGAAAAUAAGGGCUAAUAAUACAAAACCUUUGCCCCCCUCUAUACAUCAAUAAUUCAACCCUAUGUCACCAUAUAUGUAUAAUAUAUUGUUACUUCAAAAUCAAUGGCUAUCAAUCACGAUGACAUCUUACCUUGCUCUUAUAUUUCUUGUUUUUUUCCUCCGAUAAAGUGCUCAGAAGCAUAAUUGAGUAAGAAAAGUUCGCUGAUUAUCGACAAGAAUAUUCCAGCUAGGCCUUGCUGACUGCUUUAACAUUUUCAGCACACGAGUUUUGAACAUGAUAAAGCAAGUGAACAUUCACCUGACCGGCACGCCGAUAUUAAGAUAUUGCACACCAUCGCCAUCAGUGGAACCCCACAGCCUCAUCACCAUCACCAUCAACCCCUAAUAUUAUCAUCGUAAAUCCUCUUCUUCCAUCCUUUCCAUAUCACAAUCCUUAAGUUACGGUCUUGCAAACCAAGAUUACGCAGUUCAUAGUUUUCGGCCUUUUCCGACGUGUGGUGAUCGAUCGCAAUCGUUGCUGCUGUUAUGGCUGACGAUGAAUGGAGAAGGUGAGCAAGAGAAAAACAACGAGGAGAGAAGAAGUGGGACGGCGAAGAGUAAUAUAUAUGGGAAGGGUAAUAUGGGGUCUUCAUGUAUAAUUACUUUUCUAUUUUCUUAAAUACAUCGAAAGUUAAGAAAACUCCAUUUUAUUUAACCAGCUUUUCCCCGUAAUCUGGAGUCUAGACACAUGUCAUGUCGUAUCAGCACCCUCCUGUUAACAGCGUUGAAACGCCGUUAAACAUCUAUGAUUUUAAACCUUAACGCGAAAUGUAGAUCUCAUCAGGAAAAAAAUAUCUUAAUUCUUUUUACAUUUAAGUGUGGUCAUAUUUUAUCUUAUCUUUUUAAAUAUUACAGUUUAUAUUAAACAGUUGACAGUAAUUUAAAUAUUAAAUCAGUAACAUGCAAAUUCAAUCAACGGAAAAAUUAAAUUUAUUAUUAUAAUUGAUUUAAUACCCAUAUUAGCCUUGUAACUUAUAUAUCUUCCUACUCUUGCUAUUAUUUCUCUCAAUUUUAUUUUUUUUAUUCAAGUUCCUUUCCAAAACAAAGAUGGUUAUUGAUGAGGCUGGAAAAAAUUGUUGGGAGGAAUAUAAAAUUUAAUCUGAAAAAACUGAUGAACCUGUCAAAACACAUGUAAGAAAAACUUUUGGAUAUUUAAAUCAAUAUAAUAGUUGUAUAGUUGAUGAGGAGAGUAAGUUGUAUUCCCUGUGUUUAAAUAUUUUUUAAACAUUGCUUAAAUCUUGUAUUAGAUUUAUGUUGUGUUAGACUUGUGUUGAGUUUUAUGUUGUUUAAAGACUUAAAAUUUAAAAAGAUCUGUUUAUAUAAACAUUUUUAAGAUAAAUAUUUAAGUUUUAAUGUAUUUUAUAUAAAUAUCUAUUAAAUAUCUAUGUUAUAAGAUAUUUAUAAAGAUGUGUACAUUGUAUAAAGCUUUAGAUAGACCCGAUUGAACUUGGUUCAAGAAUUAAUAUUAUUAUAUAGUUUUUUCAUGUAUCAUUAAAUCCCCUGGAAGUCUUACAAAUAUAUAUUUGGAAAACUCGACCUAGCAAGAGAAAUAAAGAAAAUACUUAAAGUGAUUAAUGUUACCCUUUGUAUGUAUAAGCUGCCAUAAAAAGUGUUUGUGGACGUGUAGUCGUCGGUGUUGUCGUGGGUGUAGCAAUUGAUGUAGCCAUAGGCCUAAUGCUUGCUUAGUUGUUGGCAUGUCAUUGGCAUAACCUUGGACAUAGCCGGCAUAGUCUUCGUUAUGUUGUUGGCAUAAUUACCUUUGUGUUGGGUUUUCGUUAGCUAUAAAAAAAAAGCUUUUAAAAAACAGAAAUGAAUUGCCUUUUUGUUCGCUCCCCACAUGCAACACCAAUUGAUGAAGCUAAAACAAUCCUUAGGAGAAAGGAGAAAGAUUGGAGGUUUUUUUUAUAUAUUGGUAAAACUAGCUAAAAAAUCUAAAUAAAAAACACUUUAAAAAAUAAACAUUCUAUAUUAUUUUCAAAUCUCAAACUAUGCUGUAAAAUUUACUCAGAUAUCUAUAGGCAUGUUAAGCUCAAACACAAGUAGAUCAAAACUAAAUUCUAAUUCUGAUACUGUUUCUCUUUUCUUUUGGAAGCUACAAAACUAUAAUUGAUUUAAUACCUAAAAAUAAACAAUAUAAUAUCAAAUCUCCAAUUACCUAAAAGAUAAUUUAAAUUAAGAAGCUUGGAUUCCUGGAAAACCUAGAUCAUACAAAAACCAAUUCUAACACAAUCUUCAAAACAACUUAAUCUCUAUCAUUAUUGAUUCCCAAACUUAAGUCUCAUCAAGCUAAAAAACUAUAACAAAAUCGAUUUAAAAAUAAAGAAGAGGCGCCGACGAAUAGUGGGAUCAAAGAAGUAGUAGAAUUAAUAAAUUAUGGAUUAUAAUUUCAAUUAGAGUUUGUGGUCUAAUUCUAAUUUCAACAACAUGGGUGUGAUGGUCCAGAAGAAAAGGACGGGUGAUGUUUUAUUUUCGUGUGAUUAGCCAAUGUGAAGAAAGAAGGAAGAGAGAGAGAGAGAGAGAGAAGACGAGAAGAAUAAAAACGUGGAAGAAAAAAUUACGUGAAAGAUAUUUUUAUUAAUCUUUAAAUUUUGAAAAUAAUGAGAUGAAGUAAUGCCAUGCUCAAACAAAGAAGAGUCGUGAAAACUAACCGUUACUUUCCUUCUAUCCUGCCCAACGUACGACUUUGGCUAUUUAAUCAUUCUGCUUCUACUGGGACGAAUCCAUUAAAUUAUCAGCAAUCAUCUUCCUUGUUUCAGAUACUGUUCAGCUCCAACAUGGCCUCCAUUGAUGCUCUUUCAAAUCCACUCAAAUUCUCAGCUUUAGUUCUAAUCCUAUCUAUAUUCAUAGUCCAACUCUUCAUUAGAAAAUUGAACAAAAAGCAGAAAAAAUACAAGUACCAUCCAGUUGCAGGCACGGUGUUUACCCAACUUCUCCACUUCAACAGGGUGCAUCAUUACAUGACUAAUCUUGCUGGGAAAUACAAGACUUACAGGCUGCGCGCCCCUUUCAGAAGUGAGAUUUACACUGUUGACCCUGUAAAUGUUGAGUACAUACUCAAAACCAACUUUGAAAAUUAUGGCAAGGUAAUUUAUUUCUUCUUACUGUGAUGUAUUUCGUCAAUAUCAGUACCAAAUGUUUGGUCCUUGUUUUUAUGACGUGAAUUGUGUAAAAUUAUCUAGAUGAAUUCAACACCCAAUUAUGAGUAUUCACAAAACAAUUUGGUAGGGUGAUGAGAAUUUGAGUGGGGAUGGUUUUGACUGUUCACUUUUCCAUCAGGAUUAGAUUCCAAUGGCUAAAAGGGUAAAAAUUUAGCUUCCUCAAUCUUUGUGCAGGGGGACCAUAAUUACGACAAUUUAAGUGGGUUGCUAGGUGAUGGAAUUUUCACUGUUGAUGGUCACAAAUGGCGCCAACAAAGAAAGGUUUCGAGCUAUGAGUUCUCCACAAAGGUUUUGAGGGACUUCAGCAGUGUGAUCUUCAGGAAGAAUGUGGCAAAACUUGCUAAUAUAGUGUCUGAUGCUGCAAAAGCUAACCAGUCAAUGGACAUACAGGUUAGUAUUUGAUCCAAUGUCACAUCAUGAAUUGAUUUUCAAAUUACGUGACCUUCUAAGCUUAACUGGUUGUGCAGGACCUGUUUAUGAAAUCAACCUUAGAUUCGAUAUUCAAAGUUGGAUUUGGGGUUGAGCUAGACAGCAUGUGUGGAUCAAAUGAAGAAGGUGUCAAAUUUACCAGUGCUUUUGAUGAUGCAAGUGCAUUGACCCUUUGGCGAUAUGUUGACGUGUUCUGGAAAAUCAAGAGGUUUUUGAAUAUUGGAUCGGAAGCUACAUUAAAGAAAAACGUCAAAGUGGUUAAUGAUUUUGUGUAUAAACUAAUCAAUAAAAAAAUUGAGCUAAUGCGUACCUCAAAAGAAGUUUCUUCUGUGAGUAUCUCUCCUUGAAACUAUUAUUUCUGAUAGAUUGCAGAGGCAUGAAUUUUACUUGAUCUUUCAUGGAAAAUGCAGUUAAAGAAAGAUGACAUUUUAUCAAGGUUCCUGCAAGUGACCGAGAAUGAUCCAACAUACUUACGGGACAUAAUUCUCAAUUUUGUGAUUGCUGGAAAAGACACAACAGCAACUGCUCUAUCAUGGUUCAUCUACAUGUUGUGCAAGAAUCCAGCUGUGCAGAAUAAGAUUGCACAAGAAGUAAGAGAAGCAACUAAAGUGAAGGAGAUUACAGACUAUGCAGAAUUUGCAGCCAGUAUUAAUGAAGAAGCUCU